rnacentral:rRNA from 1 species
GACGAACGCUGGCGGCGUGCUUAAUACAUGCAAGUCGAGCGAACGGACGAGAAGCUUGCUUCUCUGACGUUAGCGGCGGACGGGUGAGUAACACGUGGAUAACCUCCCUAUAUGACUGGGAUAACUUCGGGAAACCGGAGCUAAUACCGUAUGAUAUUCUGAACCGCAUGGUUCAAUAGUGAAAUACGGUCUUGCUGUCUCUUAUCGAUGGUUCCGCGCUGCUUUAGCUAGUUGGUAGGGUAACGGCUUACCAAGGCAACGAUGCAUAGCCGACGUGAGAGGGUGAUCGGCCGCACUGGAGCGGAGACGCGGUCCAGAGGCCUACGAGAGGCAGCAGAAGGGAAUCGGACGCAGUAGGCGAAAGCCUGGCGGAGCGGCGCCACGUGAGAGAUGAAAAUCUUCGGUUCGUGAUGGUGGGUUAUGAGGGAAGAACAUAUGUGGAAGUAACUGUGCACAGCGUGACGGUACCGAGUCAGAAAGCAACGGCUAACUACGUG